GUGGUCUAUGGGAAGGUGGGUGGUAGAGGAAAGAUUGUUUAAGGUUAAAGACAGUGAAUAAGACACCCACUUUCACCCCAUAAAACACCACCAUAUGAUUUGUGAUUCUUAUGCCUCGCUGCAGCUUCUGUAUUACCGUAACCUUUAAAUGACAUCUAACUAACAUCUGGAAGAGGUUAUCCGUCACCUGGCCCAGGCUUUGUGCCGUAAUUUGAGCUGAAGUCAUGCUGUCUCAGAGUCGGGUGCGUUGCUCUCGAUGGAACCAUAAGAGCAGCGCUCUCGCGCAGCGGGGACCUUAAUGCGGCAUGUACACACAAUGGCCUAGAUAUGGUAUUUUGUAUGUUGUGGUGUUAUUGUGUCUCUGUCUCUCAUAAUGGCCCAUAAUAAGCACAGAAGCACAGCUGGCGUGUUUUGGAGAUGGCACUUCCUGAGGGAGUGUUCCGCCGAGAAAUAAUGACGGCUUUGAUUGGACGGUGGGGAGAGAGUGGCAGUUCCUGCUCUUUUGUUCCAUUGUACAGGAGAUGGAAUGGGAAAAGUGUGAGCGAGUGUGUUGGGAGAUUAUACACAGCUGUUGGAGAUGUCAUAUUAAAGACACACUUCACACACACAUGCAUAUCUUUCUGCCCUUCCCCGGCAAGACAACACCCAAAAAAUGUCAUUAUCACUUAAAUCAGAGAAAAAUAAGUACAAAAAACAAACACACAGGACAGGCGUGCGCAUAUAAUUUUGCGUAAUUCCAAGUAAAUGCAUUAUCAUUAAUAUAUCAUCUCUAUCAGCCUGUUAAUUGCUGUGAUUACGAAAUGCAUAAUUUUAGGAACCGCAAAAGCAGAUAUAAACAUCACAAGACCCCAGAAAAAAGCAAAACUGUAAGAAGCGUUAAUGAAUGGCUUUUAAAUAGAACGCUAGCAUCUUUUACAAUCAAACAAAUAAAUAACACCUUUAUUUUUAGGUGGCAGCAGCAUAUGUUCUCACUCUUCGUCACACACACAGACAAACGUACACACUUUUUUUCUGUUUGAGUGAAUUUUCCAUUAGAGUCUGCAAAGAUCACAGGUUGGGUUGUUUCCUGCCACUGCAAGAGCGCAACCACAGCAGCUAACCAGUAUCUGCUCUCACUGCAGCACCCAGGGCAUUAAUAACACACUCAUCCGCACUCACACACACUUCUUUUAACCUCAGCUGCAAGUUCUGUCUCUCUAAGAUUUUCCAUCUUUGCUUUACAGGCAACUGCAUUACCCAAAAGUCACACCACACACGCACACUUGCACAUAUGCAGGCAUAUAUGUUCCUAUACAGGCUUAGUAUAAAGCUCUUUGAGUUUUUCCUGGCAUUUUUUCUUCAGGUUUUGAGCACUACAAGCUGAACAAAAUGAAUAUAAAAUGUAACUAAUGUACAUAAAUGUAAAAAAGCAUGGUGCCUAUAGAUAAAGUCAAAUAUGUAAUUUAGGUAAAAAAAAAAAAAAAAACAUUUCCUUUUCAGAUCUUUUCUUUCGUAUUGUGACAUACAUUUGAGUAUAAGAGAUUAGCAAAAAAACAAACAACAACAACAACAACAACAAAAAAUUGUAGGGUGGGGACUUGUUUCUGCAUUAGUUGUGGAUUAAAUUUUGAGAUUUGGGUGUUGCACUCAAAAAUGGAGGCAUACGUCACCAAAGAGAAGUUUGUUGUUUUUCAACAGAAGAUCCAGUUUUGACAUUUUGUUUAAACAUUUUUAAGAAUUGUUCAGAAUAAGAUAUACACUUCCUGGCCAAAAAAAAAAAAAAAAAAAAGGUCACUGUUUGGAUUUAAAUAGGCAGUUCUUGACCAAAAAUUGAUUCACCUCUUGAUGGAAAUAAAUGUUGUGAUGUUAUUUCCAUCAAGAGGUGCAUACAUUUUUGGUCAAGAUCUUGUAUUGACAAUGCAAGAGGUGAACACUCUGUAAAGUCUAAUCCAGCACAUCCCACAGACUUUCAAUGAAUUUAAGGACUCAGAGGUACCAAUUCAUGUGUGAAAAUGAUUCUUUUUGCUCCCUCCCCAACCAUUCUUUCACAAUUUUAACCCUGGUGAAUCUUGACAUUGUCAUCCUGGAAUAUGGUCAUGAUGUGUCUUCCUGCAUGGUUGUUUAAGAAAUGAAAAGCUGCACACUCCAUCAAUUAGGGUUAGAAGAACUGUUGCAAACAUACAACAUGCUAGAAAUAUAAUAAUCACUGUAACAAUAAUCCAGUGGUAACACUUUACAAUAAGGUUCAUUAGUUAAACAUUAGUUAAAGUAUUAACUAACAUGAACUAACCAUGAGCAAUACAUGUGUAUUUGUUGAUGUUUGUUAAUAAAAAUCCAGCUGUUCAUUGUUUGUUCAACUAAUGUAGUUAACUAAUAUUAACUAACAAAACUUAUUGUAAAGUAUUACUGAUCCAAUCAUAGACUCUUGAGCAUUUGCCAAACAGUGACUUUUUUGGGGGGCAGGGCAGUGUAUAACAUGUAUUUAAAAAAAAAAAAAAAUAGUAGAAUACACAAAAAUUAGUCAAGCAUACCCUUUUCAUACAACCAGACUAAACCCCCUUCAAGAACUACUUAAGUGAUUUAAAAAAACUUUUUUUUUUCUUUCACAUUUUUAGGACAUGCACCAAUUUCGCAAGAUGUGAGUGAGAGAGAAAAAUGAGACUUAUAUAGUGUUUGUUUGACUGAAUUACUCUCUCUGAUCCUGACGGGACAUCCAGAUGUAAGAGUAGACAGACUGUGGCUGUAAGGGUGUUUUUAUGCCCCCAGUUUACUAUAUCAUAGUUUCCUUUUCCCCUGUUAUCUAUCUGUUUCUCAACACAUGUGCAAGCACAUGUGUGUGCUUUUUAUAUAAGACAAUGUUUAGACUUGAGGUCUAAACUAGAAACUAGAAGUGAGAAAUGAGGUCAAAAUGAGAUGCUGAGAUACAGACAUGUAUAGUUUGUUCCUCUGGCAGCGACUCAACAAAAGGUCAAAAUUUGUUGUGUCAGGCACACACUAACAUCUAAAUACCACAACCAUCAUCGUAAUCCCACAGUCCUUCCUUCCUCCAUGUCUCACUUCAUCUGCUCCCACUGAAGAGAUCAGAUGAUGACUGGAGACAUUCGGUCGUUGUGAUCGCCCGCCGUGAAAUUGGCCCUUGGGCAUGGAUGAUCGGACGCAAGUCACAAACGGCAGUUGGUGAGUUGUGAGGUGUUGGAUUUCUGUGUUUCUUACUGAUAAGGAAGGAGUGGGAGGGGAAACCGGACCCAGCCAUGAAAUCUCAGACUUGUGUCUGUCAGAAAUCACAGGAUGGAAUUCAGUCCAUUUUAGUUUUUUCCCUCUCACUUAAGAAACUAUUUUUAAUGUGUAACUAGUAACAGGGAGUUUGUCAAGACAAAUUCUGAAUGUUGGCUUGAAUUCUUGAAAGUCUUUCCUGAAAGUUUGAGGAUGUUGCAGCAGAAACAAGCAGAAAGCUUUUAAGUUUAAAAGUUCAGACAGACAGCCAGCCAGACAGCCAGAUAGAUAGAUAGAUAGAUAGAUAGAUAGAUAGUCAUUCAUUAGGUAGAGAUGAGAGCUUAUCUUGCUUGUCUGACAUGCUACACUACUUUUUUUAGACAAAUUAAUCGCCGUUUCUGUUCAAAAUUGGUAAAUCUACUGAAAGAGCAAACAGCAGGUAAAGCUUGCAAAUCUGGUUGUCAGUAACUUACGAAAGUCACUGCCUAGCAAUAAAAACACUUGACUGUCUCACACAUAAACCCACAGUUCUCCCUCCACUGACAGGAUAUUUUAGACAACAUAAAUGGAAGAUUAUUUUACACAUAAGGCAGUUCUGGGGCUUAUAACUGUAAGGAUUAUAUUGUACAUAUAGUCCAAAGUCCAAUUACACAAAUGCUUAUUUUCUCUAUGAGUUUUGCAUGUUGAUUUCAAACAGUUCAAAAGCUUCCAGCUGAAAGGGAACAUUCUCAGAACGUUCUAGAAGUUAUGAACAAACACUAUUCCAGUAACGUUAAUAGAACAUUUGUUCAAAAUUAUCUGGUCUUUAAGAAAGUCCUUAAAACGUUAGCACAAAAAUGUUAUUUAUACAUCAUUCAUGGAACGUUUUUUCAGUAACAUUUUAGUUGGAUGUUUGUCCAACAUUUGUUGUUUCAAAACAUUCAGAGAACAUUUAAAAGUAACGUUCCCUUAAUGUUUUGCAAUGCUUUAAAGGGUUAGUUCACCCAAAAAUGAAAAUUCUGUCAUUAAUUUCUCACCCUCAUAUCGUUCCAAACCCGUAAGACCUUCGUUCAUCUUCGGCACACAAAUUAAAAUAUUUUUGAUGAAAUCUGAGAGGUUUCUGAACCACACAUAGGCAGCAAUGUCAUUGCACCUUUUGAGGUCCAGAAAGGUUCUAAAGACAUCGUUAAAAUAGUCAGUGUGACUACAGUGGUUCAACCUUAAUGUUAUGAAGCGAUGAGAAUACUUUUUGUGCUCAAAAACAAAACAAAAAUAAUGACUUUAUUCAACAAUCUCUUCUCUUCUAUGCUGUUCACGUGAGCAACACGACGCACGACGUGAUGCUGACUCAGAAACCAGUUCAGAAACCCUCGGAUUUCAUCAAAAAUAUCUUAAUUUGUGUCCUGAAGAUGAAUGAAGGUCUUACAGGUGUGGAUCGACAUGAGGGUCCGUCACAGGUUCCAGAAUAUCCUGAGGCCACAGUCGUGAUGUAUGUGUGACCUCUUUACCCUACUGGUAAAACCCAACCUCUCACCUUUAACCUGCCAUGUGACUUGCUCCUGAUGGAUUUUUUGUAGCUGCUCCUCUGAGCUGUGAAAUAUAAACUAAACAGAAGAGAGGCGACAGGACAACACCAUUCUGACACCGCACUCUGUAAGAGCUAUUUGAUAUGCCAUAACUCUAAAAGUCACUUCCACUUGGAAACACUCCUUGAGAUUGGUGUGUUUGCAAAUGAUUGAUGACAAAUGAUUAAUCACUUCGGUUUUCAUAUUUAAUUGAUUGUCCAUUUGCAAGAUAUAUUAGUAAAAUGGGGUUCCACUUUCUACAAACCAUUUAAAUAAACUCAGCCUUUGGUUUUUGAAGCAACCAACCAACAAAUCCCUCCGAAUAUUUUAACACUGAUUGGUUUGCACGUACCACAAGAGAAAUCAUGAUCUCUGCUCUCCGCAGCAUUCCAAAGAACUUUUCCAAGAUCCAAAGUGCCCCCUACAGGAUACUAGUGGAUUUCAUUUGCAGUCCAAAACAUGCAGUGAUGUCAAGCUGUCAAACAUACACAGAUUGCACAUCAUUCAAGUAAACAGAUAUAUCAACAAACAUUUAAGUAGGACGUUUUUUGGACAUUCUUUCAGGCAUAUACAGGCUUUAGUCAAAUACAUGUCAUACACAUUAUGUUUGAAGAUAUAUGAUUAAAGGAAGUUCAUAAAUAAUAAUUAUGUACAAAAAGCAAAAAAAAAAAAAAAAAAAAAAACUGUGAAAGAGAAUCAGACUAUUUUUAAAAGCUCAAGGCACUUGUUGGGAGAUAUUCUGAGUCAAGGACACUGAACAGAUGCUCACUGUCUCAUUCAAGGUUGUUGCACUCCUACAGACUCAUCCAGAGAGGGAACAAAUACAGCUUCUCUUGUGACUUCAUGCCAACAUUGAGCUCAAAACAGUCAAUGACAAAUCACUUUCCCUGUCUGUGCUGCCCAUAGUUUCUAACAUGGAUCUACGAACAAGAAACCGUUUAAAUCCCCAUCUAGCCCACUUGGGAAAUGCCUGUAGAGAUGUGCACAGCUCAACAAAUUCUCUGGUGAUGAAAUAACGUCUUUUCUUUCUCAAAGAGGAACCAAAGGGGGAUGCAGCCUACACUGAGGGAACACAAAAUACCAUCAUAAUCUCAUUUUAUCUGUCUUUGAAACCAAGCAUCUCUAUAACACCUGGAGAAAGCUAUCAGUUAGCAUUCCCAUUCACCUAAAUAUAGAUGCACAGCCUUCACUACCGACUAUCCUAAGCUGUGAAACAGGGAAAACCAUGAGACCAUUUAACAAUUUUAAGAGAACUUCAAAAACUAAUUAUAGGAAAUAUGAAACACUUAUAUGUAUUGGUCAAAAUGGCAGUAUUUGAAUGGCCGUCAAUGGAGAAAGAUGCUUUUUGCUUGCAGAUUGUGUAGUGACUGCAUCUACCAGCAGGGGCAAACUGGAUCACACUAACCAGCUAAACUUUGACCUCUUGGAAGAAACAACUAACUAAAUAACAAGUUUGCUGUUUUAUUGUGUUGACCAAGGUCAAGAGCAACAAAGCAUUUUUUUGAUGUUCAAGAUGUCGAAAUAGAUUCUUCAGGUUUAUUUUACGAUUAACUCAGUCCUUGGCAACUGAUAUAGAAUUGAGCAGAUGCACAUAUGAAACACACACACAGUUUUUGACAAUGCAGGACCUCAUUCCCCUCCUCCUGCUCCCCCCUAGUAGGAGACCCACAGCUGCGCAAGCCAGGUGCUAUCUACUCUAACACACUCACACACACACUCACACACUUCCACCCGCCAACGAACCCAGCAGGAAAUGCCUAAUACCAGUUUUAGAAUGAUGCCACUAUGCCAGCAGGAGAGGGUGCUGCACUUACUCGCGUUCCCUUGUGGGCGCCAGCGUCUGGAGACCUUCAGCAGAAAGUCUGAUAUGAACAUCUUGAACACAUGGGUGAGACCCAGGCCAGAGUACACCAAAAAAGUACAUCAGCUAUUUCUGUCUGUGGCUUACCACACUAUUGACGCUGUACCGCUCAUACAUACUCAGUCAUCACGUAGGAGUUAAGCAGACAUAAGCAUGUACAAACACACACCAGCACAUACUGUACACAAGUACAUACGCAUAUAGGAAAGGUUCGAUGUUCGAAACUGAACCGCAAGCAAAAAACUUUGCUGAUGUGUGCUGGUAUCAUAUCUCUUCAAGACUUUUCAAGCAAAGGUUACAGGUGUUCAGAAAAUCAACUCUUAGUCAAUCGGACGUGAUGGAUCACGUGGUCGGAAGAGUCGUUGUCCAGGAAAUGAUGCUUCGUCGGAAUGGAAACUUUAGUGCGGCCCACCACAACAGAGACACCCUGUGAGAGAGUGUGUGUAAACAGCACGAUGCCUUCUCAAAACCUCACAUUGAGUGCGGUCACACACUCACCUCUAAGUUUUCCAUCCACAAGAUGUCAGACCAGUAUUUUGUCACCGGAUGUUUUUCAAGGUCAGGGGUAAAAAAAAUAGAUUCUCAGCCUCUGAUCUGUCUGUCUUUCCAUCUCGCUGUGCACCUGCAGACCUGGGGAGCCAGUCCAGGAGAAUCAUGUGGCCUACUGGUAUACUGCUAUUUGAGACUGUGGUUUUAAUGUUGCUUUUUCGAUGUUAGUCAACUUUAGGGUUUGAUUAUACAAAUGAAUGUAUUAAGAGGCUUCAUUCAUAAUUAUCUGGUCUUGUGAUGUCGUUUCUACUUUUAAAGAAUUGUUUAUAAAUCACAUUUUUUUAUAAUGUAUGAGAUAAUGCUUAAAGGUGAACUCAGAAUCAGAGUUUUAUGACUGCCAUGUUGACCGGUACGCUUUUGAAGUACCAUACACAUACUACUCUUACUGUUUCUGCCACAUCUUUAUACGUAUAUAGUGACACCCAGUGGUAUGGAUGUAUAUGUAAUUCCUUCAACAGUGCCAUUGCCAUACGCUAUUUAAAGUCAGCUAUGAUUCAUUUAUCCGGUGAGCAAAGUGUCCAAUAACAAGCAAGUUAACAAGAAUAAACUAAGAGUCAUUGGUCAUGUGAUCUCAACAUUGUGGCCUACAUGAGAGGACACGAUAAAUGUAAAAUAAAACAGCUUUUAAGCUACACUCUAAAAAAUGCUGGGUUAAAAACAACCCAAGUUGGGUUGAAAAUGGACAAAGCCAGCAAUUGGGUUGUUUUAACCCAACUGUUGGGUUAAAUUUUUGCCCAACAUGCUGGGCAGUUUUAUUUAACCCAACUAUUGUUUAAAAAUUAGGUAACACUUUAGUAUAGGGAACACAUAUAAACUAUUAACUAUGACUUUUCCAUCAAUAAACUCCUAAUUUACUGCUUUUUAAUAGUUAGUAAGGUAGUUGUUAAGUUUAGGAAUUGGCAGGAUUAAGAAUGUAGAAUAAGGCAUUAAUAUGUGCUUAACAAGUACUAAUAAAUAGCCAAUAUUCUAGUAAUGUGCAUGCUAAUAAGCAACUAGUUAAAAGACCCUAAAAUAAAGUUACCAAAUAUUACUAUGUGGCUGGCUUAAAAUGAACUCAAAAUAGGUUGGAAAUUAAUAAUCAGAAACAUAAUUACAGAGGCAACCAAUAAUAAUCAAAAGGUGAAUAUUUAUUAAUAAGCAAUUUAAUAAAUGUUUAUUGUUUAAUUAUUAUUCAUUAAACUUAUUAAUAAAUGUUAAUUUACAACAUACUUUGGGUUCAUUUUAAAGGGUUAGUUCACCCAAAAAUGAAAUUUCUGUCAUUUAUU